AGCUAGCUCUUCAAUCCCCUGGGAGGGUCACAAGCACCUUACUUGCAUAGUCCCACCCAAUCAUUGUGGGAGUCACAAAGACUAUGGCUAGAAGGGCUGUAUUGAUUCACUGCACCACAGGCCACUCCCGACUCUUCUAGAUGUUGGCCCUUUCAUACCUGAAGGAUUAAUUUCUUCCUUCCAAACAUUUUACCAGCCUGUCAGUUUGUCGUACUGUGGUGGCUUGUGUGUUGUGAUGCUGGAAACUAUACCAACAGUAUUUCACAUACCAGCAGGGUCACCCAUGGUGGACAGGUUUCAGCAGAGCUUCUAGACUAGAACAGACUAGGAAGAAGGACCUGGCAAUCUACUUCUAAAAAAGUUGGCCAGUGAAAACAUGAAAUCCAAUGACGUGCUUUAUUGGGCAAAUCUUCUGCAAAAGACCUCUUUAAAAUAGAGUGUUGAAAAGCAAAACUGUUACUUUGAGGACUAAGGUACACUUAACCCAAGCCAUGGCAUUUUCAGUCACCUCAUAUGCAUGCAAAAGCUGGACAAUGAGUAAGGAAGACCAAAGAAUUGACGCCUUUGAAUUACAGUGUUGCAGAAGAAUAUCGAAUAUACUACAGGCUUCCAGAAGAGUGAACGAGUCUGUCUUGGAAAAAGUACAGCCAUAAUUCUCCUUAGAAGUGAGUAUGGCAAGACCUCCUCUCACAUCCUUUGGAUAUGUUAUCGAGGGGACCAGUCCAUGGAGUAGGACAUCAUGCUUGGUAAAGUAGAGAGUCAGUGAGAAAGAAGACCCUCUCAGUGAGAUGGAUUGAUGCAGUGGCUGCAACAAUGGGCUGAAACAGCAAGGAUUGUGAGGAUGGUGCAGGACAGGGCAGCGUUUCAUUCUUUUGUACAUAGGGUCAGUAUGAGUCAGAACCUACUGGAAGGCACCUAACAACAACAACAAUAAAAUUUGGAUAUAUAAUAGGUUUGUUGAUAUAAGAUCAUCAGUAGUGAUGGACUUUUGUUGGAUAUGAGAACUGAAAUCAGCAUAAUUCCCUGUCCCUGUGUUGAACAGUACUAGGAGCAGGCCUGCCUGUGUUAAACAAGCCAGAGGUGAAAGAAAGAAAAAGAAAGGAAGGAAGGAAGAAAAAGAAAGAAAGGAACAAAAGGAAGGAAAGAAGAAACAGUAACUUAGUUACUUGCUUCCCUUACUUCUCUCUUUUAAGGAGACCAGUUUUCUCAAGGCUCCAGGUUCAAAGAUCAUCUCAGAGCAAUGACCUGGGUCACCCCAAUCUCUUUAAAAAAGAACCCGGAAAUCUGGAUUCCAAGAGAAUUAAACUCUGUUCCUCACCCUUAUCUAUCCCCCCAGUGCCGUGGAGUCAAUUCCGACUCAUAGGGUCUCUAGAGAAUGUAUUUUCUUUUAACUGACUACAUGAAUCAGAGCAAUUCGCUAGUUCUACAACCGUACAUAAAGACCUGACAAAGAUGCCGCUGAUACUAGGUGCAAAGAAAAAGUCAUUGGCAUUUGGACGUUAAGGAUAUGUAUAUCUUUGUACUGUUUUGGAAAAUACUGUGAUGACAUCAUGGUAGUUAAUCUUCAUGUUUGAAUGGUAUUCAUUGUAUUUCCUUCUGGUUGAAGCCAUUUCGUACAAAACUGUGUAAAGUGUGAUAUGUGCAGUGUUUAAGAAGCAGAUUAUCAUAAAAGCCUAAUGUAUGAAUAUAAGUUGCUGACCCUCAAUACAAGACUGAUUAAUAAUUUGGGGGCAUUUUGAAUUUGCCAGGUGCAAUUUUGAAACAUAGAACGUGGUUAAAUAAAGGUAAAACCCUGUGCUUAGUUGUGUGGUUGAAGAACUAGUUUGAUAAUUUUCAUUUAUUGAACUGAAACCAUCAGUCCAGGCAGGCACAUCCCCAUUGCUUCCAAUUAAGACUCAUAUACCCUCACUCCCUGAGAAGAGAUACUGCUCGCAUAUUCCAGAGGGUACUCUUUGCAGAAUUGUUCUCCUUUAUGGCAUAUACCAUACAGCUCCACCACUUCCA